rnacentral:misc_RNA from 1 species
GUAUUUUGAAUUGUUUAUUCAUAAUAUUUUUCAGACAAAGAGUUAAAAGAUAAAGGUUGAUGUUUGGGGCUGAUCAAAAGAGACCAACCCUGACAUUGCACACAAGGUGGAUAUGGAUUUAAAAAAGUGCCAUAAAACACUUAUUAUGAAUGAUCCUUCCGCAGGUUCACCUACGGAAA